rnacentral:misc_RNA from 1 species
UGAGAAACCCUUUUACCCAGUGACUGUAAAUAACAUAGAGUUGCAUGAAUUCUUUAUAAAUGUUGCAUCAGACAUGCUGGGUGCCCUGAACAUUAAAGAAAUACAACUAUUGAUGGGAGCAGAAGACUUCUCCUUUUUUGCAGAGGCAAUUCCUGGAUACUUCUUCUAUGUUGGGAUGAAGAAUGAAUCUCAAGGACCGCUUGAGCCUGGUCAUUCACCUCGUUAUAAAGUCAAUGAAAAGGCACUUCCAUAUGGGGCAGCACUACAUGCAUCUUUAGCAACAAGGUAUCUUCUGGAAAAUCAACUGGAAUCCAAG